rnacentral:rRNA from 1 species
UACGGAGGGUGCGAGCGUUAAUCGGAAUCACUGGGCGUAAAGCGCACGUAGGCGGCUUGGUAAGUCACAUGUGAAAGCCCUCGGCUCAACCGGGGAACUGCGUGUGAUACUGCCUUGCUUGAGUCCUGGAGAGGGUGGCGGAAUUCCCGGUGUAGGAGUGAAAUCCGUAGAUAUCGGGAGGAACACCAGUGGCGAAGGCGGCCACCUGGACAGGUACUGACGCUGAGGUGCGAAAGUGUGGGGAGCAAACAGG